rnacentral:rRNA from 1 species
GGAGCCAGAACACAGGUGCUGCAUGGCUGUCGUCAGUUCGUGUCGUGAGAUGUUGGGUUAAGUCCCGCAACGAGCGCAACCCUUGUCACUAGUUGCCAUCAUUUAGUUGGGCACUCUAGUGAGACUGCCGGUGACAAACCGGAGGAAGGUGGGGAUGACGUCAAGUCCUCAUGGCCCUUAUGGGUAGGGCUUCACACGUCAUACAAUGGUCGGUACAGAGGGUUGCCAAGCCGCGAGGUGGAGCCAAUCCCUUAAAGCCGAUCGUAGUCCGGAUCGGAGUCUGCAACUCGACUCCAUGAAGUCGGAAUCGCUAGUAAUCGCAAAUCAGAAUGUUGCGGUGAAUACGUUCCCGGGCCUU